AGAGCCGCCGCCGCCGCCGUCGCCCGGUGCGGAUGCAGCGGAGGAGACCGAGAAGAGCCCGCCGCCGUGUCCGAACACGGUCACGGUGCGCCGCAACCCUCACCGCCGAGCGAGGCCGACCCCGUCGGCCACCGCCGCUCGUAAAUCGCCUGGCUCGCGACCCCCGAAACCGAAACUACCGGACAUCUCUUCGUUUCGACUGGAGGAGAUCCUCUCUAGCGAC
rnacentral:lncRNA from 1 species